AUUGAACGCUGGCGGCAGGCCUAACACAUGCAAGUCGAACGAGUGGCGGACGGGUGAGUAAUGUCUGGGAAACUGCCUGCUGGAGGGGGAUAACUACUGGAAACGGUAGCUAAUACUGCCUACCAUUGGCUGUGCCCAUAUGGGAUUAUCUAGUCGGGGGGGUAAAGGCUCACCUAGGCGACGAUCCCUACCUGGUCGGAGAGGAUGACCAGCAACACGGGAACUGAGACACGGUCCAGACUCCUACGGGAGGCAGCAGUGGGGAAUAUUGCACAAUGGGCGCAAGCCUGAUGCAGCCAUGCCGCGUGUAUGAAGAAGGCCUUCGGGUUGUAAAGUACUUUCAGCGGGGAGGCGUUACCCGCAGAAGAAGCACCGGCUAACUCCGUGCCAGCAGCCGCGGUAAUAC
rnacentral:rRNA from 1 species